rnacentral:rRNA from 1 species
UACGGGGGGGGCAAGCGUUGUUCGGAAUUACUGGGCGUAAAGGGCGCGUAGGCGGCCUGCUAAGUCGGAUGUGAAAUCCCUCGGCUCAACCGAGGAACUGCAUCCGAUACUGGCGGGCUUGAAUCCGGGAGAGGGAUGUGGAAUUCCAGGUGUAGCGGUGAAAUGCGUAGAUAUCUGGAGGAACACCGGUGGCGAAGGCGGUUCUCUGGGCAUUACCUGACGCUGAGGAGCGAAAGUGUGGGGAGCGAACAGG